UUCGGAAUUAUUGGGCGUAAAGGGCGCGUAGGCGGCUUGGCAAGUGGAUGGUGAAAUCCCUCGGCUUAACCGAGGAACUGCCGUCCAAACUGCUUCGCUUGAGACCGGGAGAGGUGAGUGGAAUUCCCAGUGUAGCGGUGAAAUGCGUAGAUAUUGGGAGGAACACCAGUGGCGAAGGCGGCUCACUGGACCGGUACUGACGCUGAUGCGCGAAAGCGUGGGGAGCAAACGGG
rnacentral:rRNA from 1 species